rnacentral:piRNA from 1 species
CAGGAAAUGGUCAUUGUGCUGGAAUUCUUG